rnacentral:rRNA from 1 species
CGAAGGGGGCUAGCGUUGUUCGGAAUUACUGGGCGUAAAGCGCGCGUAGGCGGUGAUCUAUGUCCGGGGUGAAAUCCCGGGGCUCAACUCCGGAAUUGCCUUUGAAACGGGAUCGCUAGAGUCCGAGAGAGGAUGGCGGAAUUCCUAGUGUAGAGGUGAAAUUCGUAGAUAUUAGGAAGAACACCGGUGGCGAAGGCGGCCAUCUGGCUCGGUACUGACGCUCAGGCGCGAAAGCGUGGGGAGCAAACAGG